CCCAGAGGCAGGUCCCCGGUCCAGGCGCAGUCCAGAGGCAGAUCUAGGUCCAGAUCUAGGUGCAGAUCUAGGUGCAGUUCUAGGUGCAGUUCUAGGUGCAGAUCUAGGUGCAGAUCUAGGUGCAGAUCUAGGUGCAGAUCUAGGUCCAGAUCUAGAUCAAGGUCCCACCCACGCCACAGACGGAGCUCCGCCCGUCGCCACGGCGACCGCUCCCAUCACCACGGCUACAAGCGGUCCCGUUCCCCGACGCCGCCCUCGUCCUCCCCGUCCCGCCGCCGGAGGAGCCCCCGGACGCGGUCCAGGUCCCGCUCUCGGUCCCGGGGGUCCCGGCGGAAGGCAACGCGCUGCCGCCACCACCGCCGCCGCGCCGGGAGUCACCACGAUCACCACGGCGACCCCGGGCGGCGGGGCUCGCCGGCCUGCGACCGCCACCCGCACCUCGCGGGCUGCGACGCCCAGCGCUUCCGCCAGUGGGAGACGGAGUACCUGCAGUGGUACGACAAGUACUUUGGCAACUACACCGGGACGCCCCACCACCUCCAGCCGCCGCCCCUCCUGCCCACGCCCCGCCCCGCCUGCGGCCGCCCGGCGCCCAGCCACCGCCCC
ensembl:lncRNA